CUGGCUCUGUGAGGCUGCAGGUUUGCUCAUGGCUCUUUGCUGUGAAACUAUGAGGGCUGAAUGGUAGCAGCUCUUGUCGGCCGUGGUCCCUGGGUCUCACAAUGUCUUAUAGAACCCCCAGAGGACACAGCGUUGGAACUACCCCCCACCAACUUCAGAAAGAACUCGUGGUAGACUUUGUCUUUGGUGGUGAUCUUACACGGAUGCUCUGAUGCCAUCUUCCCUCCUCUCCCAGGUUCAGGGGAGAGUUUGACAAUGUGACCCAUUUCCAGAGUUUUAGGACCAUUCUCCAUCCCAGGCUGACAAAUGUGUACAGCAAGAAUACCUGCUUUGUUGGUGUUGUGAGGAUGCUGUGAUCUUGUAGAGAGUGUGUCCAUGGUCUCACGCAGCGGAUGUGGGAAGAGGCGGCUGACACAGAAGACAGCAGCCCCUCAUCACAGAGACAGAGCACAUGAUACAUCCCAACUCCAGGAAUCCUGUGUGUCCUGGGGAAAGCGCUGGGCUCCUUGGGGUUGUUCACAAGUUCCCUAGAACCAACUGCUGACACUCUCGGUUGCAGCUCUGUUAUGGGCCAUGUGGGACUGUGAGAAAGUUAGCAACAGCCACAGGCUCCUGAACAUGCGACAUGCGACAGCUCAUGCGUGAUGAACCCCAGGGGGCUCUGGGAGUGUGUGAUUGAUUUAUAUUAUGUGAAGCUCUCACUGAAGCUGUGGUUCUGGACACAGAGUGUGCUCCUUUUCCCGAUUCUCCUUUGAAAUAAUGAUUUAACUAUGCAAAAAUGAAGACUGCUUCCACCGUCACCCUUCCGUUUGUAUCGCGUUUAUCUGUUUUUGUAUUGUGUUGCUAGAACAUUUGACUUCAAAAAUUGCUGUUUGAUGUACUUGAAUUUCAUAAAAAGCUAUUAAUGAAUUCUGCCUUGGGAUUAGGGCAGAAUUUCCAUCAGUUUCUUAAACAAUAGCCCUUAACAAUAGUCUGACAUUCUGAACUAUGCACUUGCAUGGACUCAUGUCCUUUGCAUUGAUGGUUAAAAAUAUCAAAAUAUCUACCAACUCUGAAAAACACAGAAGAUGCUUCUGUGCCCCGCAGAAGCAAGUAUUAAGCAAGAUCUAUUUCUUUCUGUGAAAUAAAC
rnacentral:lncRNA from 1 species